GGUCGAGGCUAGGCCCACCAAGGCGACGAUCGGUAGCUGGUCUGAGAGGACGAUCAGCCACACUGGGACUGAGACACGGCCCAGACUCCUACGGGAGGCAGCAGUGGGGAAUUUUCCGCAAUGGGCGAAAGCCUGACGGAGCAAGACCGCGUGGGGGAAGAAGGC
rnacentral:rRNA from 1 species